rnacentral:rRNA from 1 species
GGCCUGGCUGGGUGGUCUUGCCGAAAGGUAAGUACUGCUCUGGUCGGGUCUUUCCUUCUGGGGAACCAGCGUGCUCUUAAUUGAGUGCGGUGGGGAUCCAGGACUUUUACUUUGAAAAAAUUAGAGUGUUUAAAACAGGCUUAUGCUUGAAUAGAUUAGCAUGGAAUAACGGAAUAGGAC